AGUGAACGCUGGCGGUAGGCCUAACACAUGCAAGUCGAACGGCAGCACAGUAAGAGCUUGCUCUUACGGGUGGCGAGUGGCGGACGUGUGAGGAAUACAUCGGAAUCUACUUUUUCGUGGGGGAUAACGUAGGGAAACUUACUCUAAUACCGCAUACGACCUACAGGUGAAAGCAUGGGAUCUUCGGACCUUGCGCGAUUGAAUUAGCCGAUGUCGGAUUAGCUAGUUGGCGGGGUAAAGGCCCACCAAGGCGACGAUCCGUAGCUGGUCUGAGAGGAUGAUCAGCCACACUGGAACUGAGACACGGUCCAGACUCCUACGGGAGGCAGCAGUGGGGAAUAUUGGACAAUGGGCGCAAGCCUGAUCCAGCCAUACCGCGUGGGUGAAGAAGGCCUUCGGGUUGUAAAGCCCUUUUGUUGGGAAAGAAAAGCAGCAGGUUAAUACCCCGCUGUUCUGACGGUACCCAAAGAAUAAGCACCGGCUAACUUCGUG
rnacentral:rRNA from 1 species